GGGAUGGCAAAGGAAUUCCAGAGGUGAUUGCUAAUUUUAGACCCAUUGUGGAACAUGGGGAAGCUGAUUAUCCAUUUGGCUUAUGGAGUAAAAGGCAGCUUGAUUAUACAAAAGCCGGGAUGUCAUUAGCCGAACUAGUAAGCACUGGCAGUGGCACAACAAUAUGGCCAUAUGUCAUAACACAGAGAUGCAAAGGAAAAAUAUAUGCUCAAAUAAGAGAUACCAUCUCAUGGGAAGACACUCUAAAUUUGGCCUCGUUCCUGGGAGAACAAAUGCGCAACCUUCAUCUUGUGCCGUGCCCAGCUUUGAAUGAUUUAACGUUAUUGGAAACCCAGCAGAAAGUAGUACCCACUGCUAAUGGGAAUCUCGAGGAUCACGAGGACAAGAUUUGUGUCCCUGCAGAGUGGAAUUUAUUCCUGAAAACUCUGAACAGAAAAAAGAAGGAUGUUUGUGACCGCUUGACCAAAUGGGGCGAUCCAAUUCCUAGAGAGCUGAUUGAGAAAGUCGAGGAAUACAUCCCCGAUGACCUCCAAAAGGUUGACAUGGGAGUCAGAUCUUGUACCUGGAUACACUCCGAUGUGAUGGAUGACAAUAUCCACAUGGAACCGUGUUCCCUCCCUUCUCGCUCUGGAGGGACUACUGAUGAUCCCGAGUCAAUUGACAAUGUUUCUGCAAAUGGAUCUAAUUUGAGUGAGCCUAUACGUGCAUGGAGACCUACUCAUAUACUCGAUUUCAGUGGUCUAUCUGUUGGGGACCCGAUUGUUGACUUAAUCCCAAUACACCUGGAUAUCUUUAGAGGAGAUCCGCAUUUACUGAAGCAAUUUCUGGAUAGCUAUCAACUUCCAUUUAUUAAAACAGGGGUGAAUGCAUCAGCUAAAAGCAAUGGAUUUCAGAGACUUUCUUACCGAGCCAUGUGCUACUGUAUUUUGCAUGACGAAAACGUUCUGGGAGCUAUUUUCAGUACUUGGAAGAAACUAAAGAUGGCUAAAUCAUGGGAAGAAGUCGAGGAAGCUGUAUGGGGAGAUCUUAAUAGUUACACAGGCUCCUGUUGAACUUUUAUAAUUUUUGUCUCUCAGUUUUAUUGAUGAAUAUUGAAUAAGUCCAAUCGCGUGUACAAUAACAUUUGUUUGAUGUAAUUUAUUGAUCUUUU
rnacentral:misc_RNA from 1 species